rnacentral:rRNA from 1 species
AGUGAACGCUGGCGGUAGGCCUAACACAUGCAAGUCGAACGGCAGCACAGAGGAGCUUGCUCCUUGGGUGGCGAGUGGCGGACGGGUGAGGAAUACAUCGGAAUCUACUCUGUCGUGGGGGAUAACGUAGGGAAACUUACGCUAAUACCGCAUACGACCUACGGGUGAAAGCAGGGGAUUUUCGGACCUUGCGCGAUUGAAUGAGCCGAUGUCGGAUUAGCUAGUUGGCGGGGUAAAGGCCCACCAAGGCGACGAUCCGUGGCUGGUCUGGGAGGCUGAUCAGCCGCACUGGAGCUGAGCCACGGGCCAGACUCCUACGGGAGGCAGCAGUGGGGAAUAUUGGACAAUGGGCGCAAGCCUGAUCCAGCCAUACCGCGUGGGUGAAGAAGGCCUUCGGGUUGUAAAGCCCUUUUGUUGGGAAAGAAAUCCAUCUGGUUAAUACCCGGGUGGGAUGACGGUACCCAAAGAAUAAGCACCGGCCAACCUCGUGCCAGCCGCCGCGGUAA